AGCAUGGCAUAGUGGUUUGAGUGUUGGACUAGGACUCUGGAGACCAGGGUUUGAAUCCCAGCUCGGCUA
rnacentral:tRNA from 1 species